GACGAACUUUGGCGGCGUGCUUAACACAUGCAAGUCGAACGGAAAGGCCCUGCUUUUGUGGGGUGCUCGAGUGGCGAACGGGUGAGUAACACGUGAGUAACCUGCCCUUGACUUUGGGAUAACUUCAGGAAACUGGGGCUAAUACCGGAUAGGAGCUCCUGCUGCAUGGUGGGGGUUGGAAAGUUUCGGCGGUUGGGGAUGGACUCGCGGCUUAUCAGCUUGUUGGUGGGGUAGUGGCUUACCAAGGCUUUGACGGGUAGCCGGCCUGAGAGGGUGACCGGCCACAUUGGGACUGAGAUACGGCCCAGACUCCUACGGGGGGCAGCAGUGGGGAAUAUUGCACAAUGGGCGGAAGCCUGAUGCAGCAACGCCGCGUGCGGGAUGACGGCCUUCGGGUUGUAAACCGCUUUCGCCUGUGACGAAGCGUGAGUGACGGUAAUGGGUAAAGAAGCACCGGCUAACUACGUGCCAGCAGCCGCGGUGAUACGUAGGGUGCGAGCGUUGUCCGGAUUUAUUGGGCGUAAAGGGCUCGUAGGUGGUUGAUCGCGUCGGAAGUGUAAUCUUGGGGCUUAACCCUGAGCGUGCUUUCGAUACGGGUUGACUUGAGGAAGGUAGGGGAGAAUGGAAUUCCUGGUGGAGCGGUGGAAUGCGCAGACAACAGGAGGAACACCAGUGGCGAAGGCGGUUCUCUGGGCCUUUCCUGACGCUGAGGAGCGAAAGCGUGGGGAGCGAACAGGCUUAGAUACCCUGGUAGUCCACGCUGUAAACGGUGGGUACUAGGUGUGGGGUCCAUUCCACGGGUUCCGUGCCGUAGCUAACGCUUUAAGUACCCCGCCUGGGGAGUACGGCCGCAAGGCUAAAACUCAAAGGAAUUGACGGGGCCCCGCACAAGCGGCGGAGCAUGCGGAUUAAUUCGAUGCAACGCGUAGAACCUUACCUGGGUUUGACAUGGAUCGGGAGUGCUCAGAGAUGGGUGUGCCUCUUUUGGGGUCGGUUCACAGGUGGUGCAUGCCUGUCGUCAGCUCGUGUCGUGAGAUGUUGGGUUAAGUCCCGCAACGAGCGCAACCCUUGUUCACUGUUGCCAGCACGUUAUGGUGGGGACUCAGUGGAGACCGCCGGGGUCAACUCGGAGGAAGGUGGGGAUGACGUCAAGUCCUCAUGCCCCUUAUGUCCAGGGCUUCACGCAUGCUACAAUGGCUGGUACAGAGAGUGGCGAGCCUGUGAGGGUGAGCGAAUCUCGGAAAGCCGGUCUCAGUUCGGAUUGGGGUCUGCAACUCGACCUCAUGAAGUCGGAGUCGCUAGUAAUCGCAAAUCAGCAACGCUGCGGUGAA
rnacentral:rRNA from 1 species